GCCAAUGUAGCACAAUGGUAGUGCGUUGCUUUCCUACCUUCGUUUGAAGGUUCAGGCAGAGGCUGUGGGUUCGAGUCCCAUCAUUGGUU